rnacentral:rRNA from 1 species
UACGUAGGCAGCAAGCGUUGUUCGGAGUUACUGGGCGUAAAGGGUGCGUAGGCGGCUUUUUAAGUUUGGUGUGAAAUCUCCCGGCUCAACUGGGAGGGUGCGCCGAAUACUGAGAAGCUAGAGUGUGGGAGAGGAAAGUGGAAUUCCUGGUGUAGCGGUGAAAUGCGUAGAUAUCGGGAGGAACACCUGUGGCGAAAGCGGCGCACUGGACCACAACUGACGCUGAGGCGCGAAAGCUAGGGGAGCAAACAGG